rnacentral:ncRNA from 1 species
AAGAUAGAGGCGCGGCCGACAAGAGUAGCGCGUUCGCAACGGAGCAGAGAUCCGGAGCGCGUGAAAGGGGAAGCCGCCGAAGUGGAAACGGGUCCUGUACCGUUUUUGCUGGUUCGUCAGAGAACAUCUGCCGGACUGUCACGUAUGUGGAGCGCUAUCG